ACGAAGGGAGCUAGCGUUGUUCGGAAUUACUGGGCGUAAAGGGCGCGUAGGCGGUUUUAUAAGUCAGGUGUGAAAGCCCUGGGCUCAACCCAGGAACUGCGCUUGAUACUGUAAGACUUGAAUUCGGUAGAGGUGAGUGGAAUUCCCAGUUUAGAGGUGAAAUUCGUAGAUAUUGGGAAGAACAUCCGUGGCGAAGGCGGCUCACUGGACCGACAUUGACGCUGAGGCGCGAAAGCGUGGGGAGCAAACAG
rnacentral:rRNA from 1 species